GAUGAACGCUGGCGGCGUGCUUAACACAUGCAAGUCGAACGAUGAAGCCCAGCUUGCUGGGUGGAUUAGUGGCGAACGGGUGAGUAACACGUGAGUAACCUGCCCUUAACUCUGGGAUAAGCCUGGGAAACUGGGUCUAAUACCGGAUAGGAGCGUCCACCGCAUGGUGGGUGUUGGAAAGAUUUAUCGGUUUUGGAUGGACUCGCGGCCUAUCAGCUUGUUGGUGAGGUAAUGGCUCACCAAGGCGACGACGGGUAGCCGACCUGAGAGGGUGACCGGCCACACUGGGACUGAGACACGGCCCAGACUCCUACGGGAGGCAGCAGUGGGGAAUAUUGCACAAUGGGCGAAAGCCUGAUGCAGCGACGCCGCGUGAGGGAUGACGGCCUUCGGGUUGUAAACCUCUUUCAGUAGGGAAGAAGCGAAAGUGACGGUACCUGCAGAAGAAGCACCGGCUAACUACGUG
rnacentral:rRNA from 1 species